CACACACACACACAGAGAGAGAAAGAGACAGACAGACAGACACACAAAGAGAGAGGAGAAUUUAAGUUCCAGUCCAACAAUACUUUAGGAAAGAGAAUAUCAGAA